AAUAUUGCGCCAUGGGGGAAACCCUGACGCAGCCACGCCGCGUGAGCGAAGAAGGCCUUCGGGUCGUAAAGCUUUGUCUAGAGGGAUGAAUAAAGGAUAGUACCUCUGGAGGAAGCCCCGGCUAACUACGUGCAAGCAGCCGCGGUAAUACGUAGGGGGCAAGCGUUGUCCGGAAUUACUGGGCGUAAAGUGCGCGUAGGCGGUCUAAUAAGUCAGAUGUGAAAGUCCAGGGCGCAACCCUGGAAUUGCAUUUGAAACUGUAAGACUUGAGUGCAGGAGAGGAGAGCGGAAUUCCUAGUGUAGCGGUGAAAUGCGUAGAUAUUAGGAAGAACACCAGUGGCGAAGGCGGCUCUCUGGACUGUAACUGACGCUGAGGCGCGAAAGCGUGGGGAGCGAAC
rnacentral:rRNA from 1 species